rnacentral:rRNA from 1 species
GGAUAACCUGCCCUUGGGACCGGCAUAACCCCGGGAAACUGGGGAUAAUUCCGGAUAACGCACAUAUGCUGGAAUGCUUUAUGCGUGAAAUGGAUUCGUCUGCCCAAGGAUGGGUCUGCGGCCUAUCAGGUAGUAGUGGGUGUAAUGGACCUACUAGCCUACAACGGGUACGGGUUGUGAGAGCAAGAGCCCGGAGAUGGAUUCUGAGACAUGAAUCCAGGCCCUACGGGGCGCAGCAGGCGCGAAAACUUUACAAUGCGGGAAACCGUGAUAAGGGGACACCGAGUGCCAGCAUCAUAUGCUGGCUGUCCAGGUGUGUAAAAUACACCUGUUAGCAAGGGCCGGGCAAGACCGGUGCCAGCCGCCGCGGUAACACCGGCGGCCCGAGUGGUGAUCGUGAUUAUUGGGUCUAAAGGGUCCGUAGCCGGUUUGGUCAGUCCUCCGGGAAAUCUGACAGCUCAACUGUUAGGCUUUCGGGGGAUACUGCCAGACUUGGAACCGGGAGAGGUAAGAGGUACUACAGGGGUAGGAGUGAAAUCUUGUAAUCCCUGUGGGACCACCUGUGGCGAAGGCGUCUUACCAGAACGGGUUCGACGGUGAGGGACGAAAGCUGGGGGCACGAACCGGAUUAGAUACCCGGGUAGUCCCAGCCGUAAACGAUGCUCGCUAGGUGUCAGGCAUGGCGCGACCGUGUCUGGUGCCGCAGGGAAGCCGUGAAGCGAGCCACCUGGGAAGUACGGCCGCAAGGCUGAAACUUAA